GUGUUUACUUCGGCAGCACAUAUACUAAAAGUGGACUGAUACAGAGAUCAUCAUGGCCCCUCCACAGGGAUGACAUGCAAAUUCGUGAAGCGUUCCAUACUUUC